ACACGGGUGCUGCAUGGCUGUCGUCAGCUCGUGUCGUGAGAUGUUGGGUUAAGUCCCGCAACGAGCGUAACCCUUGUCCUUAGUUGCCAACAGGUAAUGCUGGGAACUCUAAGGAAACUGCCAGUGAUAAACUGGAGGGAGGUGAGGAUGAUGUCAAGUCAGCACGGCCCUUAUAAGGUGGGCUACACACGUGCUACAAUGGUAACUACAAUAGGUUGCGAGAUCGCAAGAUUGAGCUAAUCCAUAAAAGUUGUCUCAGUUCGGAUUGUUCUCA
rnacentral:rRNA from 1 species